CCUUCACAACCUCUACAGUGGUACGCAUGCAUGUAGGAGACGGCAAAUCAUCGUCCGCUGCCAGCAGAUCCAGCAGCCUAGUCAACCUGUGGAAGAGGAGGGGCUCCUCUGGGGAAACCCUAAGGCUGUGACUUGAUCCCAGUCCAGUAUCUUCGCUGGGGUGACCCUGAGCCGAUUGCAGCUGUGGUGUUUGCCUGCCUCGGUCUGCUAGCCACCUUAUUCGUUACUGUAAUCUUCAUCAUUUAUCGGGACACU
rnacentral:sRNA from 1 species